AUUUUUUGUGUUCAAUUCAACCACGAGGUA
rnacentral:tRNA from 1 species